UCUACUUGGCAAAGGAGACUGCAAUAACAAAAAGUGUGAAGGCUAAGUAAGAUUUCGCACUCACUUUCCGAUUACAAAGCAGCGCAAGGCACAUCAAAGUGAGCAAAUGGGAAAGAUAUAGAGGAUUUGCACCGACUUCUACUUGCAAAGGAAGAGCAAUGCACAAAAAAGUGUGAAGGCGCAGGAGGAUUCGCACUCGAUCCCACUUGUGUAGAAAGGGCACAACCCACAGCAAAGUGAAGGAUUUGCACUCGCUUCCACUUGCAAAGGAGGCACGCAAGGCACAACAAAGGGAGCAAAUGGGAAAGUGGGAGGAUUCGCAUCGGCUUCUGCUUGCAAAAGAGGAGCAACGCACAACGUCAAGCAAGUGUGAAAGACAGAGGAUCCGCACCCGCUUCCGCUUGCGAAGGAGGAGCGCAAGGCACAACACAAGUGAGCAAAUGUGAAAAAUACAGAGGAUUUGCACCAGCUCUUGCUUGCAAAAGAGGAGCAACACACAACUAAGUGAGCCAAUGUGACAAUGAGAGAUUUGCACUCGCUUCCACUUGCAAAGAAGCACAAGGCACAACAAAGUGUACAAACGGGAAAAAUAUAGAGGAUUUGCACCAGCUCUUGCUUGCAAAAGAGGAGCAACGAACAAGAAAGCAAGCAAAUGGGAAAGAUACAGAGGAUUUGCACCCACUUCAGCUUGCAAAGGAGAAGCAAAGCACAACAAAGUGAGCCAAUUUGAAAACUUUCCCAGAUUGAAACUAGUUUCUAUUUGCAAAAGAGGCGCGGACGCAUUAACUUUAAGCAAAUGCGAACGACAGGGAGGAUUCGCACUCGCUCCCCGGAGGAGCCCAAGGUGCAAGUGGGGCAAGAUCGAGGCAGAAUUUCUCUACGAAGCCGGAAAGUGCAAAACCACCGGGAACCGGGGAGAAUCUUCUUGCACGGCUUGUUUACUGUCGCAAGACCUCGUUGUUGGCCUCGUCCUCCUCCUCCUCGCCAUAAUUCUCGGCCCAAGGUGGGAUUUUUGCCAUUUCUUGCCUCCGAGGCAGGCAACACCCUUCCAGGCCGCUGCCAGGGUCUCGUUCCAACAUUUCUGCUUCGGAGGAAAGGAAGAAACCGACGGAGAAAUUCCUCCAAUUCUUCAGUUUGGGAGAGAAAAUCCCUCGGAGGAGCGGAACCCGGAGGCCUGUUUGCGCCGGAAUCCGAACAAAGUCUCCUUCUCUGGGUCCCUGGAAAAGGAAGGGAAAAAUCAGAGUCACAUGAAGAGCCAGAAAAGAAGGAGGAAAGGGAUUGACGGACGGACGGGGAGCCAGUCAAUCAUUGAUUUGGGGCAGAGGACGCCGGGACACAGCCACACAGCCAGACAAGGGCACAAAUAUCAUAUGAAUUAUUAUUGCUAUAUUUAUUUAUACCCCGCUUUAUCUCUCCUCAAAGCGGCUCAACAUAAAAGCAUUAGCAAUGCAUUCCAUUUAAAUUAUAUUAUUAUUAUUUACUAUAAUACAGUAGAGUCUCACUUAUCCAACACUCGCUUAUCCAACGUUCUGGAUUAUCCAACGCAUUUUUGUAGUCAAUGUUUUCAAUAUAUCAUGAUAUUUUGGUGCUAAAUUCGUAAAUACAGUAUUUACAACAUAGCAUUACUGCGUACUGAACUACUUUUUCUGUCAAAUUUGUUGUAUAACAUGACGUUUUGGUGCUUAAUUUGUAAAAUCAUAACAUAAUUUAAUGUUUAAUAGGCUUUUCCUUAAUCUCUCCUUAUUAUCCAAUGUAUUUGCUUAUCCAACGUUCUGCCGGCGCGUUUACGUUGGAUAAGUGAGACUCUACUGUAAUAAUAAUAAUAACAACAACUUUAUUUUUAUACCCCGCCCCAUCUCCCCGAAGGGACUCGGGGCGGCUUACAUGGGGCCUAACCCGAUAAAACAAUCAAAAAAGUCAAUAACACAGCAAUAAAACAAUUAUACCAAUAAAAACAUCAUUUUUAUAAUAUUUAUAAUAUUAUUUUAUAUUACAAUAUAAUUUAAUAUAUUAUUACUUAUACUAGCUUAUUCUCUCCUGCAGGAGACUCAAAACGGCUCAACACAAAAGCAUUAGCAUCCCAUUUAAAUUAUAUUAUUGUAAAUAUUAUAAUAUAUUAUUCUUAUUAUUUAUACCCCACUUUAUCUCUCCCAAAGAGGACCUUAAAGUAGCUCGACAGAAAAGCAUUAGCAUUCCAUUUAAAUUAUAUUAUUAUUUUAUGUUAUUAUUAUAAUAUAAUUUAAUAUAUUAUUAUUUAUACCCCGUUUUACCUUCCCUAGAGGAGACUCAAAAACAACUCAACAUAAAGCAUCAGCAUACAAUUUAAAUUAUAUUAUUAUUAUUAUUAUUAUUAUUAUUAUUAUUAUUAUUAUUUACUAUUAUUAUUAUUUAUACCCCCUUUAUCUCCCCUGCAGGAGACUGAACACGGCUCAACAGAAAAGCAUUAGCGUACAAUUUAAGUUAUUAUUUUAUAUUACAAUAUUAUAAUUUAAUAUAUUAUUACUUAUACUACCUUAUUCUCUCCUGCAGGAGACUCAAAACGGCUCAACAUAAAAGCAUUAGCAUACCAUUUAAAUUAUAUCAUUAUACAUAUUAUAAUAUAUUAUUCUUAUUAUUUAUACCUCAUUUUCUCUCUCCCGGAGGGGACCUCAAAACAACUCAACAUAAAAGCAUUAGCAUUCCAUUUAAAUUAUAUUAUUAUAAUAUAUUAUUCUUAUUAUUUAUACCCCGCUUUAUCUCUCCCGGAGGGGACCUCAAAACGGCUCAACAUAAAAGCAUUAGCAUUCCAUUUAAAUUAUAUUAUUAUAAAUAUUAUAAUAUAUUAUUCUUAUUAUUUAUACCCCACUUUAUCUCCCCAGCAGGAGACUCAAAAACAACUCAACAUAAAAGCAUCAGCAUACAAUUUAAAUUAUAUUAUUAUUAUUUUAUAUUACAAUAUUAUAAUUUAAUAUAUUAUUACUUAUACUAGCGUAUUCUCUCCUGCAGGAGACUCAAAACGGCUCAACAUAAAAGCAUUGGCAUACCAUUUAAAUUAUAUUAUUAGAAAUAUAAUAUAUUAUUCUUAUUAUUUAUACCCUGCUUUCUCUCCCCUGCAGGAGACUCAAAGCAGCUUAAACAUAAAAGCAUUAGCAUAUAAUUUAAAUUAUAUUAUAAUUUAUUAUUAUUUAUACCCCACUUUAUCACUCUCGAAGGAGACUUAACAUGGCAUAACUUAAAAGUAUUAGUAUACAAUUUAAAUUAUAUUAUUAUUUUAUAUCAUUAUUAUAUAUUUAAUACAUUAUUAUUAUUUAUACCCCACUUUAUCUCUCCCGAAGGAGACUCAAAACGGCAUAACAUAAAAACAUUAGCAUACAAUGUAAAUUAUUAUUAUAUAUUUAAUAUAUUAUUAUUAUUUAUACCUUGCUUCAUCUCUCCCGAAGGAGACUCAAAAGCAGCUUUACAUAAAAGGAUUAGCAUAUAAUUUAAAUUAUUAUUAUAUAUUAUAUUAUAUUGCAAUUUAAUAUAUUAAUAUUAUUAUUUAUACCCCGCUUUAUCACUCCCAAAGGAGACUCAAAGUGGCUCAACGUAAAAACAUUAAUCUACAAUUUAAAUUACAUUAUUAUUAUAUUAGAAUAUUAUAAUUUAAUAUAUUGUUAUUAUUUAUACCCUGCUUUACCUCUCCCACAGGAGACUCAACAUUAAAACAGUAUAGAAUUUAAAAUUAAAACAUUAACAUUAAAACAGUACAGAAUUUAAAAAUUGACAACACAAUUUAAAAUUAUGAUUAUACCAUAUUUUUAGCAAGACCCCGAGCCAAGUAUAUUUCUAGCAAAAUGCCAAGCCCCAAAGCCGUGGCAUAUUUCUAGGCCAUAUUUAUUUCUAAUCUAACAUCUACCAAUAUACAAAUCCCAAAUGCAUUUCAAGCAAAAUCCACACUCCACAUCUGGGAUUUGUUUCCAUGAAAAGGAAAAACCUAAAAUCUUUUCUAUUUCUAGCAAAAUCCAAACUUACUUCUUGCAAAUGUACUUCUUGCAAACCAAGCCUCUACCGUGUUGUCGAAAGCUUUCAUGACCAGAAUCCCUGAGUUGCCGAGAGACCUCAAAACCUGUUUCCAGUGAAAUCCAAAACCCUAAAACCAUGACACAUUUCUAGGAAAAUCAAGGCCUCGAAUCCCCGUUUCCUAGCAAAAUAAAUAAAUAACCCAAUGCUGUAUUUAUUUCCCGGAAAACCUAAUUUCUAGCAAAAUCCAAAUCCCAAAUCUGGGAUUUGUUUCUAGCAAAAACAAAAGCCCCAAAAUCUUUCCUGCUUCUUGCAAAAUCCAAACCCGGAACUGACCUCUUGCAAAACAAACUCUAGAUCUGGACUGUUGUAAAUUUUCUGGGCUGCCUGGCCAUUUUCCAGAAGCAUUCUCUCCUGACGUUUCGCCCACAUCUAUGGCAGGCAUCCUCAGAGGUUGUGAGGUCUGUUAACUCACUUAACUAGGCAUUAAGUGAGGUUUAUAUCUCUGUGGAAAGUCCAGGGUGGGUGAAACAGCCAGGCUUUGAAUCUGCAAGGCUAUUCAAUGCUAAUCAAGGUGAUUGAUUACAACGUUCACACUUGCCUCCAACAGACAAGACUUCUUUCUCCUACCCUGGACAUUACUCCACAGGGAUAUAAACCCCACUUGCUUAGUUUCUAACAGAACUCACAACCUCUGAGGAUGCCUGCCAUAGAUGCAGGCGAAACGUCAGGAGAGAAUGCUCCUGGAACAUGGCCAGACUCACAGCAACCCAAUGAUUCCGGCCAUGAAAGCCUUGGACAACAAACCCUAGAUCCCUUCCUUAAUUGUAGCAAAAUCUAAACUCCAUACUUAUUUUGGCAAAAUCUGACUUUUCUAGCAGUCCAAACCCUAUUUUGGUUUUUGCAAAAUGCAAACCCCAAACCCUUGAUUUCUCUCUCUCUCUAUGAUUAUAUGAAUAAUUAUAUAUAGCCCUUGGCUUUCCUAGGAACAAGUUUAGAGUUUUUUGGCUUUGCAAGGAAUAGGUUUGGGCUUUGCAUUUUUGCAAUAUAAUAUAAUAUAAUAUAGGUUUGGGCUUUGCAUUUUUGCAAAUAAAGUGUUAUAUAUAUAUAUAACAUAUAAAAUAGGUUUAGGCUUUGCAUUUUUGCAAUAUAAUAUAAUAUAAUCUAUAAUAGGUUUGGGCUUUGCAUUUUUGCAAUAUAAUAUAAUAUAAUAUAAUCUAUAAUAGGUUUGGGCUUUGCAUUUUUGCAAAUAAAGUGUUAUAUAUAUAUAUAUAUAUAUAUAACAUAUAAAAUAGGUUUAGGCUUUGCAUUUUUGCAAUAUACCGAAUAUACUCGAGUAUAAACCGACCCGAAUAUAAGCCGAGGCACCUAAUUUUGCCACAAAAAAACUGGGAAAACAUUGACUCCAGUAUAAGCCGAGAGUGGAAAAUUUCAGAAAUAAAAAUAAAUACCAACAAAAUUACAUUAAUUGAGGCAUCAGUAGGUUAAAUGUUUUUGAAUAUUUACAUAAAGCUCAAAUUUAAGAUAAGACUGUCUAACUCUGAUCCAAUCAUUAUUCUCAUCUUCUUCAAUGUAUACUUUUAAUAAUAAUAAACGAAUACAUGUAAUAAUAAUAAUAAUAAUAAUAAUAAUAAUAAAUACAGGAAAAUAAUACAAGUACCGUAGAGUCUCACUUAUCCAACGUUCUGGAUUAUCCAACACAUUUUUGUAGUCAAUGUUUUCAAUAUAUCAUGAUAUUUUGGGACUAAAUUCGUAAAUACAGUAAUUACAACAAAGCAUUAUUUUGUAUUGAACUACGUUUUCUGUCAAAUUUGUUGUAUAACAUGAUGU
ensembl:lncRNA